CCUGNCCAGUGACGAUAAGUUCAACGGCCGCGGUAUUUUAACCGUGNUAAGGUAGCGUAAUCACUUGUCUUUUAAAUGAAGACCCGUAUGAAAGGUGUCACGAGGGCCCACCUGUCUCCUACUUCAAGUCUGUGAAAUUGAUCUGCCCGUGCAGAAGCGGGCAUAACAACAUAAGNCGAGAAGACCCUGUGGAGCUUAAGACCAAUCAAUCAACCGUGCCUAACAGCCAACACCCCAACAGGGAAUAAAAAGCUAAGCAAGCAUAACGAGUUAUAAUUAAACGUCUUCGGUUGGGGCGACCAUGGAGGACAGAAAAGCCUCCAAGAGGAAGCAGGGAACCAGUUUAAUUGAUUCCUAAGAGCUAAGAGCCACCCCUCUAAGCAACAGAAAACUCUGACCAAUAAUGAUCCAGACACUAGCCUGAUCAACGAACCAAGUUACCCCAGGGAUAACAGCGCAAUCCUUUCUCAGAGCCCAUAUCGCCGAAAGGGUUUACGACCUCGAUGUUGGAUCAGGACAUCCUGGUGGCGAAAAUUCUACCAAGGGUUCGUU
rnacentral:rRNA from 1 species